GCAUAGAGCCGGGAGUAGAUUCUGCGCAGCAUCCAGCGAACUCCUAGAAGGCCGGUGGAGAGGGGAGAGGCGGUGUUGUGGGCAGGGUGGUAGAGAGAAACGAAGCUCGACUGUAAGCGCAUUUGUCGCUAACCGGAGGCCUAGGCGAUCCGGGCUUCGUGGCUCGCCCGGCACCUUGGGAGAUACAGCUUGCCCAGUCGCCUUGCAUCUGCAUAUUGGUUUGUGCCCUAUCACUGCAGAUCAAGGAGGGUUCAACAUUUAAAGAUGAAAAAAGUUGAUCUUUGUUUAAGCUCUGAAGGGACUGAAGUGAUUUUAGCUACAUCAAGUGAUGAAAAACACCCACCUGAAAAUAUCAUUGAUGGAAAUCCAGAAACAUUUUGGACCACCACAGGGAUGUUUCCCCAAGAGUUCAUUAUUUGUUUUCACAAACACGUAAGGAUUGAAAGGCUUGUAAUCCAGAGUUACUUUGUGCAGACCUUGAGGAUUGAAAAGAGCACUUCUAAAGAUCCGGUUGAUUUUGAGCAGUGGAUUGAAAGAGAUCUAGUACACACAGAGGGGCAGCUUCAAAAUGAAGAAAUUAUGGAAAUUCAAGGGAGAGAGGAACAAGUAAAAUGACACCACAAGGAAGCAAAUAGACUUGUAGCCAUUAAUGCUGCUCAACUGAGAUGCCCAGAUCUCUGCCCUCCUGCCCAUGCUUUUACUGAGCUCUGACUCUGGGACAUGGACUCUGGCAGGCGCUGAGUGACAGGUGAUCAAAACAGCCUCGAUCAUCUUACGGGAAGGUGGGUGAGUAAACAACGCUGGUUCCGCUCAGCCACGUAAGCCUCCUUGCCUUCAAUCUCUGGGUUUAAGACUUGGGCCAAGCUCAUGGGUUCAGUCCCCAUGAAAAUCAGGGAGACAGAGAUGUGUCUGACCAUCUUGCAAAGUCCAAGGGGCUUAGACCAAGCCGUAGGUGUUUCGGGGAAGGACAUGACUGCCCAGUGUAAGGAUUUUCUCACAGAUGGAGCUGUGCAGCAGCCAAACGGGAUUCCCAUGAAGUGAUGGAGAUGAGUCAUUGCCUCUUAGGAGCCAAAGGGAUCCCAGCCCCAGGUGAAAGCUGGCCCAGAGCAGUGGUUCUCAGUGUGGUCCCCAGUCUACAGCUUCAGGACCACCGGGAGCUGGUUAGAAAUGCAAAUUCCCAGGCCCCGCCCCAAGAUCUAACUCAAACUCUGAGGUGGGGUCCAGCAGGCCAUUUUAACAAGCCCUCUGGGUGCUUCUGGUGCCCACCAAAGCCUGGGAACCGCUGAGGGAGAUGCAGCACAAUGUUCCUUUGAACCUGGGACAGUCUUAGGAUGGAUUUUACAAAUAGAUAUAGAGCUGCCAUUUUCACUUGUGACAUUUCAGGUCUAAAGUCUUUGUAAUUGUACUCAUAUUAGCUCCUCGCCCUGGAUUUCCCUAUAGAUCCAUUCAGAAUGUUGGAUAUUCUCCUUGCUAGACCUGUCACCCCAGGUUUUCUGCUCUGUGUGCCUCGUCGAGAACACAGACUGUGAGUUAGCGGGUGGUGGGUAAGCCUAGCAGGACCUGGGAGAUGGUAGGUUCUCGGUGAAUAGCGCUGUCUUCCUCUCUCCUCCUGUUCUUCCCCCCACCCCCAAACUUGAGCAAAGAGGAGAGAGAGGGAGGGAAGUGGUAGAGGCAGGGGAUCUUUUUUCUUACCUGAUGCAUGUGCUUCUUCAAUGUAAAUGAUGAGAAAAUCUGCUAUGGAACUAAAAUCUUCAAUAAGUCUCUUGAAUUGGUCAAAUUUGAAAAUAAAUGAAGGUCAGGUGCAACUUCCGAAAUUUAGCACUAGUGGCCUGUUGCCUAAAA